UCCCGAACCCAGUAGUUAAGCCCUCCAGCGGCGAUGGUACUGCCGGGGUAACCCGGUGGGAGAGUAGCUCGUUGCCAGGA
rnacentral:rRNA from 1 species